CGUUCCUGGGCCUGCUCUCUUUUUCCCUUCCUGCAUUAGAGAUUGGCUAUAAGGAGAAGGCUGACGGCUGCAGCAUGAAGCGCAUUAUUACCUUGUGAUUCCAUGACCCUCCUCUAUGCAUCCCUAACUCUCGAAAGCUGAUUCAGCUUUCAGCUAGUGCUCUGGUGAGUCCUCUGCUGCAACAGAACCUCCUAACUGGCAGCUUGGAGUAACGGGUUUGGGCAGUGAAGUGAUCCGCAGCACUUCCCCUUACAACGCAGAGCCUGUAUUUCUUGGGGAGCUGUACUGCUGGCCCACUUGCAAUAUUUCUGCGUGCAGUGGUUAUAAGCGCAGGUGCUUUUUUCCUCGUAUCAUCUUGCAGCCUGGUGGGCUGCCGAGGAAGAGGGGGGAAAAGUCACCUUUGCCUUAUGACGCAUAUAAAUUCUUUAAAUAGGUUAUGCACAUGGCAAUGUGCAAUAUCUGCGCCCGGCUCUGGGUUAAGAAGGAAAGGCCCCAGUUUAUUGGCUCCCACUGCAGAAAUGAUCGGAGCCGCUGUGAUUUUUAAAUUUGAUUUACCGAGUUAUUUUUAGCAGUGGGGUGGUCAUGCUGCAGGGCUCUCCAGGAGAAACCAGCUCCCCAGCACUGCGGCCCCCAAACCUGCGGGCGAGCGGCUGGGGCAGGGCUGCCUGGCAGGGGCUCGCUUUCACCAUCCAGGGGGCAAACUGCCUGAUUAUGAGACUGCAAGAGAGAAAAGUCAUGUUUUUUUUUUUUCCAUUUCCCCCCUCCCCUCUUUCUUUUCCUUUCCUCUUGGUUUCUGGUGAUGGCAAAUGCAACCAUCACUCGUCUCAAGCACAUCUUGAGAAAAACCACUGAUUUUAACACCGGAUGAGAAAACGCAGGGUAGGGAGGAUGAGCCUGCCAACCUCUAAAAAAAGUAUUCAGGUAUUUCAGCCUUUUCCCUCCCAUUUUCCAAGGAGGGCUGUGAGCUCUGCAGCCCUGAGUUCCUGGGCUGUGGGCUGGGCUGGCUGUAGCAAAGCCCAUCUCUGCUUUGCCUCCGCCGCCUGUCGGGUGGCACUUCAGACUCUGAAACACGGGGCUCGGAGGAGGACAGCAGACCAUAAAACACUGACAGGAAGAAGGCAGGAGGUGACAAUUAAAGUAUCUGGAUUAAAACAAUAGCCUUUACUUAUGUCACCCUGUAAUAGCAACGUGGCUCUCGAAACAUACAGAGCCAAAUAUCGAGUUUAGAAACGCUCCAGGCUGGUGGUUACUGCUGCAGACUCUUCUGCUGCUAUUAAACCUGCCUCUUUAAUUCAGACCUGCUCUUCAGCCGUAGCCUCUAAGAAGCUUAAAUAAAUCCCAACUGCCUGAAAGUGAAGCCAUUUCAACCACUGCAACGUCAGGCAGCGAGUUGAGAAGAGGGGCAGGCAGCUGGGGAAGAAAAGACCCCGAGGAAUUCCCCUCUUUGCUGGCCACCGCCCGUGAGGCCAAAUGCUUUGCUAAAGCUGGUAAAAUGGAACCAAAUCACCUCUUCAAUGGAUUUGGUCCCCUUCAACCAGCUGUAGCUGUGCAUUGAUCUCUCAGACCCACCUCGGAGGAUGGAACGCUUGAACCGGACGGAGACAUCUCAGGUAGCAGAAGACAAAUGGCCACAUGAACCCUGCCGAUAAGGAAAUUAUGAUGACUGGCAUCUGCAGAUCUAUCACCCGGGCUCUAAACUGGUGGGCUGAGCCUGAGUCAUUAUGUGGUUGCCAGUCAAUUCUGCCUAACGGAGACCACUCAAGAUUGAUAAUCUCUAUCGUCCUCCCGUAUUGAUCUCGGCUGCAAUUCAGGACCGUGUAUUUCAACUGCAAAUGCUCUGCAUUUUCAUAUGUAUUCGCUCGUGCCCACCCGGGAGCCCCCCUGCCUCCGUGUUUCACCUGCUGCAAGGAAGAAUAAAGGUUUUGAUCCGAA